AUAUCAGCAUAGUCGAUAAGGUUGUAUGUCUAAAGGGAACCAGCCCAGAACAGAGGUUAAUAAGGUCCAAAAUUAUUGAAGUAAAAUAGGGAAGUAUUUCACCAUAAUACCAUCCCAGGGAAAUAGGGCUUUAAAAGCGGCCCAUUUUUUUAAAGACCUCGUACAGAGCACUGGUAAAAUUUAUCUUUAGUGAUAAAUUAAAUUAGUAAAAGCACCGAAAAUUUAAGCGGAUCUAACAAUAUACCGACACCUUGUCCAUACAUAGAGAUAUAAUAAUUGCAUAUCACAUAGAGCUUGGCUACAAACUAAUAUAUUAGUGAAAAUCGACCCUUAAUGUGAGUGUAUAUAUAAAAGAAGAUUAAGUUAUUAUUUUAUGGUACCAUGUGAAAGGACGAUGAGCGUUGUAAGUCAAUGGUUCUAUUUUGUAAUUAAUCAUUAUGUAUGGGGUAGCAGAACAUUGGGCAAAUUUCAGAUUUUUUCUUUUUAACAAUUAAAAUUAAAUAACCCAAGAGAUAAUGCUGACAUGAGUAACGAUAAAGGGAAUUAUUCCCUCGCCUAAAGCUUAUGGUAUUUUCUUAAAGUAACGGCCUCUAAGUUUAUAUUUACUUUUGAUAAGCUUGCUUAUCAAAAGUAAAGUCCUAAAGGAUUAAACGAUGAGAAAACCUAGUAGAGUUUAUUGUUAAAUAACCUUUGUGCAUAUAAAAAUUUAAAACUAUAAAAAGAUCAUCUAUAUUGUUUAUAUGGUAUAAAAGUAGUUUUAUUAAAUCUUUUUUUAUGCUAAAGUGACAAAGUGUUCUGGAACAACUUUAAGCUCAGCACAGUUGUAUGUAGACUGUGUUAUUGAACCGUACCUAGAUACUACCCCCAGUAAGUUAGUAGAGAAUACGAAGGCGUUNAGUAACAAUC
rnacentral:rRNA from 1 species